rnacentral:rRNA from 1 species
AUUGAACGCUGGCGGCAGGCCUAACACAUGCAAGUCGAACGGUAACAGGAAACAGCUUGCUGCUUCGCUGACGAGUGGCGGACGGGUGAGUAAUGUCUGGGAAACUGCCUGAUGGAGGGGGAUAACUACUGGAAACGGUAGCUAAUACCGCAUAACGUCGCAAGACCAAAGAGGGGGACCUUCGGGCCUCUUGCCAUCGGAUGUGCCCAGAUGGGAUUAGCUAGUAGGUGGGGUAACGGCUCACCUAGGCGACGAUCCCUAGCUGGUCUGAGAGGAUGACCAGCCACACUGGAACUGAGACACGGUCCAGACUCCUACGGGAGGCAGCAGUGGGGAAUAUUGCACAAUGGGCGCAAGCCUGAUGCAGCCAUGCCGCGUGUAUGAAGAAGGCCUUCGGGUUGUAAAGUACUUUCAGCGGGGAUGAAGGGAGUAAAGUUAAUACCUUUGCUCAUUGACGUUACCCGCAGAAGAAGCACCGGCUAACUCCGUG